AUGGCAGUCGAUCUGGAAUACAUGAACAGCGACCUAGCUGUUCUUGCUGCUGCUUACCACGGCGACUGCGAGGAGGACGCCGCCAAGAAGCCAUCCGGAGUAGUGGUCGCCACGGAGACUGACGGCGGCCUCGUCCUUCUAUCCGUCGUAGUUCGUGGCCGCUCAUCCUAUGAUUGGCUUCGCGACAAACCACACUACUUCGUCUACAACGCCAGCGUCCCCGAGCUCAAGCACAUCAAGCAACCCGGCGACGAGCACCCGGUGAACGAGCAUUCAUUUGCCAUUGUGCGCAAACCUGAACCUGACUGCACCUACCUGCUCGCCGCACAAGCUGAUCAGUUUGUGUACGGCAAUCCUUGUCACCUCUGCCUGUAUCAUCCUGGCACCGACUCCUGGAGCAAACUGCUGGUGAACGUCGAUUCAGUCCCCUACGUGCUCACCACAUACAAGGCAAUCGCCAUCGGAGGGGAUUCAGGCCUGGUGGCCUGGGUCGACCUCUCGCAUAUGAUCACCUCCUGCAACGUGCUGGACGAAAGCCCUAAGCUCCGGUUCUUAAGACUACCGACCGAGCCGCAGUAUGGAAGCGGCACGCCGGCUGUUCGGGACGUUUCAUUCCUUAAUGGCCACAUCAGGUUUGUUGAGCUGCAGCACCGCGACUAUGGUUGGAAGGCCACAAUAUGGAGCAUCAAGACCGGUGUCUUCUCCAAAAAGGCUUGGCGCAUCCAUCGCGAGCUUGAUUCCUCGGAUAUACCCGAGUCAUCACUGCCUAAGCUGAAGGUCCUCCGUGAAGGUGUCACAGCUCAGCCAACCUUGUCGACUCUCGACAUUGGCCUGCCCAAGCUCAGCCUGCAAGAUGAUUGCAUCCUUUACCUCCUAGCCAAGAUUGACUACCGCGACAGGGAUCACACAGCAUGGGUUCUUGCUGUUGACAUGAAGAACAAGGCUGUCCAGAGAGUGGCCGAGUUUAGCCCCAAGAGGUCUAUUGCCUUAUCCACUGGCUACGAUUCAAGUCGGGUCUCCAAACAUUUCAAAGUUGGUCCAGGGGGGUUGUAUCAUCAUAUCACACAGAUAGACAGCGCACUUGACGACGCCAUCACGGCGCUGCACACCUUGCCGUGGACCGACGCCAUCGCAGCGCCGACGUCCAUCACCAUGUACUCUUGCCGCACGCGGCGGCCACCUCUUGACAUGGACGACGCUGUCGCAACGCCGAUCACCACGCGGUCUUGCCACAACAUCACGCUGCAGCUUUUGUUGGCUUCACACCAACUCUUCAUGAUGGCGAUGGCAUCGCACCACCGCCGUUGGCAUCACACCGACUCUCCGUGA
rnacentral:rRNA from 1 species